AUUGAACGCUGGCGGCAUGCCUUACACAUGCAAGUCGAACGGCAGCACGGGAGCAAUCCUGGUGGCGAGUGGCGAACGGGUGAGUAAUAUAUCGGAACGUGCCCAGUCGUGGGGAUAACGUAGCGAAAGCUACGCUAAUACCGCAUACGAUCUAUGGAUGAAAGCGGGGGAUCGCAAGACCUCGCGCGAUUGGAGCGGCCGAUAUCAGAUUAGGUAGUUGGUGAGGUAAAGGCUCACCAAGCCGACGAUCUGUAGCUGGUCUGAGAGGACGACCAGCCACACUGGGACUGAGACACGCCCCAGACUCCUACGGGAGGCAGCAGUGGGGAAUUUUGGACAAUGGGCGCAAGCCUGAUCCAGCAAUGCCGCGUGCAGGAUGAAGGCCUCGGUUGUAACUAGCUUUGUUACGGUAACGGAAA
rnacentral:rRNA from 1 species